GCGGAUGUAGCUCAGUGGUAGAGCUUCUCGUUGCCAACGAGAUGGUCGGGCGUUCGAAUCGCCUCAUCCGCU
rnacentral:tRNA from 1 species